UUUUGGACGGCGCGCGGCGACAAAAGGCGACAAGGGCUUGCCUCGCCUUAAGGCGCUUUUUGAAGUGCGGCGCCAAUAAAUACCAAAAAAUUAAAAUAUUUAAUUGCAUAUGUAAAUAAUCAAAAUCUCACUAGCAAUAACAUAUUAGCAAAUAUUUCAAUUCAAAAAUUAAAAUUAGAUAGUAGAUACUAAAAUCCAUUGAAUUUGAACCUACUGUUUAUAACUGUAUAACAAAAUUUAAACAAUUAUUGAACAGAAAAAAUAGGAGCAAAACAACCACUGCCUCACUGGUCCAAACAGAGAAAAAAAAAACAGAGGAAAAAACAGAGGAGAAAAAAACAGAGCAAACAACAGAGGAGAAAAAAACAGAGGGUAAAAAAACAGAGAAAAAACAGAAAAAGAAGAAGAGAAUAGAAGAAGGGAAAAAAAAAAAACACAGAGGUGGCCGGAAA